rnacentral:rRNA from 1 species
AGGAUGAACGCUGGCGGCGUGCCUAACACAUGCAAGUCGAACGUCCUGUCUCGCAAGAGGCGGGGAGUGGCGGACGGGUGAGUACCACGUGGGUCAUCUACCGUGAGGUGAGGAAUACCGGCGAGAAAUCGCCGACAAGACCGCAUAGGCUCGAUGCAAGUCGAGCAAAGCUCUUUCGAGAGAGGGAGCGCCACACGAGGAGCCUGCGCCCGAUUAGCUAGCUGGUGGAGUAACGGUUCACCAGGGCGACGAUCGGUAGCUGGUCUGAGAGGACGAUCAGCCACACUGGGAUUGAGAACGGCCCAGACUCCUACGGGGGGCAGCAGUGAGGAAUUUUCGUCAAUGGGGGCAACCCUGAACGAGCAACGCCGCGUGCAGGAAGAAGGUUUCGGAUCGUAAACUGCUUUUCUCGGGGAAGAGAAUGGACGGUACCCGAGGAAUCAGCCCCGGCUAACUACGUGCCAGCAGCCGC